AGCGAACGCUGGCGGCAGGCUUAACACAUGCAAGUCGAGCGGGCACUUCGGUGUCAGCGGCAGACGGGUGAGUAACACGUGGGAACGUACCCUUUGGUUCGGAAUAACGCUGGGAAACUAGCGCUAAUACCGGAUACGCCCUUUUGGGGAAAGGCUUGCUGCCGAAGGAUCGGCCCGCGUCUGAUUAGCUAGUUGGUGGGGUAAUGGCCUACCAAGGCGACGAUCAGUAGCUGGUCUGAGAGGAUGAUCAGCCACACUGGGACUGAGACACGGCCCAGACUCCUACGGGAGGCAGCAGUGGGGAAUAUUGGACAAUGGGCGCAAGCCUGAUCCAGCCAUGCCGCGUGAGUGAUGAAGGCCUUAGGGUUGUAAGGCUCUUUUGUCCGGGACGAUAAUGACGGUACCGGAAGAAUAAGCCCCGGCUAACUUCGUG
rnacentral:rRNA from 1 species